UUGGUAAAAGAGGGGUAAACUUAGGUUUAAACUUUUACUGAAGUGCUGCCUGUUUUUAUGCCCCUGCAAAUAAAUGGCUAUGUCAUAUACAGUUUAUACCAUUUCUUUCAAUCAUUCAAACAUUCAGCAAUGCAAUAGUCAUUGUAGAAUUUGUGCCUAUAAUUUAGCCAAACUGUUUAUGAAAUUAAUCGAUAAUUGCUAAUACUUCUUCUAUUACGUCACAGAAAUGACAUUACAGCCAGUUGAUUCUUCAGGCCAAAGCUAGUUUUUGCCUUUUCUAUGACCAUGAUGAAUCUGAUUGGAUUUGCAUUUUACUUCAUUGGUACGAAUAAAAAAUGUGAGGUAUACUCAAUCAGACAACAACCAACCAACACAAAAAUGAAAACUUAUCUAGAAUUUAACAUACCGGUACAAUGCAUGUAUGGUUUUAACCAAAGAUCAUUGUCAAUACAAUAUAUCAUUCCCUUUUUUCCCUGAGUUUAGGAAAGUGAUGAAAAAAAUUUGAAUAAAAGGAGUAAGUUCCCUUUUUGGCCCCCAAUAUUAAGUGCAUUCUUUCAAGAUAAAAAGUGUUUCAAGUUCCCUUUUUGGCCCCCAAUAUUAAGUGCAUUCUUUCAAGAUAAAAAGUGUUUCAAGUUGAUGAAUAGACAUGAAAGAAAUUGAAAUAUAACUAUUUUGGAUGAGAUUUUCUUAUUUAUAAAGCGUUGAUAUUUACACCCCAAACAGGCCAACAUAGAGAGUAUGUUGAAACAUGACAAAAUCUUCUUGAUUUCAACCACAUUACAGUCUUAUGAAACAUAAAGUGCAGGGUUCAAUGCCCUUAAUAUUCAAGUCAGAUAUGUAAUUUUAUAUACCAAACAUAAAGUCAAAAAAUGCUUCUGGUUAGAAAAACCAAUGGAAAUGGAAAUUCAUCCAUAUUCAUUGAAUUAUUUUGAGGAAAAUCAAAAGUUGUGCUAUUUGUGAAGUCAUGAGAGGAAUACAGAUUUUCCAAAAAAAAAUAAAUUAAAAUAUCUAUUAUCAAUUUAUUGGAUAAUAAUCCAUAUUCAAAAUUUAGCAAGAAAUAGGGGGCCAUAUUAGAGCCUUAUCCAACUUAUUCUUUUUUCAAGAUAUGCCAUCAUCACCAAAUUCUUAAAGGUAAAUUAUAACUAUAGACAACCACUGAUGAGGUGUCUGACAUGACUAUAGACAACCACUGAUGAGGUGUCUGACAUGACUAUAGACAACCACUGAUGAGGUGUCUGACAUGACUAUAGACAACCACUGAUGAGGUGUCUGACAUGACUAUAGACAACCACUGAUGAGGUGUCUGACAUGACUAUAGACAACCACUGAUGAGGUGUCUGACAUGACUAUAGACAACCACUGAUGAGGUGUCUGACAUAACUAUAGACAACCACUGAUGAGGUGUCUGACAUGACUAUAGACAACCACUGAUGAGUUGUCUGACAUGGGAUAAGGUAUAUUAUGACUAUAGACAACCACUGAUGAGGUGUCUGACAUGACUAUAGACAACCACUGAUGAGGUGUCUGACAUGACUAUAGACAACCACUGAUGAGGUGUCUGACAUGACUAUAGACAACCACUGAUGAGGUGUCUGACAUGACUAUAGACAACCACUGAUGAGGUGUCUGACAUGACUAUAGACAACCACUGAUGAGGUGUCUGACAUGACUAUAGACAACCACUGAUGAGAUGUCUGACAUGGGAUAAGGUAUAUUAUGACUAUAGACAACCACUGAUGAGAUGUCUGACAUGGGAUAAGGUAUAUUAUGACUAUAGACAACCACUGAUGAGGUGUCUGACAUGACUAUAGACAACCACUGAUGAGGUGUCUGACAUGACUAUAGACAACCACUGAUGAGGUGUCUGACAUGACUAUAGACAACCACUGAUGAGGUGUCUGACAUGACUAUAGACAACCACUGAUGAGUUGUCUGACAUGGGAUAAGGUAUAUUAUGACUAUAGACAACCACUGAUGAGGUGUCUGACAUGACUAUAGACAACCACUGAUGAGGUGUCUGACAUGACUAUAGACAACCACUGAUGAGGUGUCUGACAUGACUAUAGACAACCACUGAUGAGUUGUCUGACAUGGGAUAAGGUAUAUUAUGACUAUAGACAACCACUGAUGAGGUGUCUGACAUGACUAUAGACAACCACUGAUGAGGUGUCUGACAUGACUAUAGACAACCACUGAUGAGGUGUCUGACAUGACUAUAGACAACCACUGAUGAGAUGUCUGACAUGGGAUAAGGUAUAUUAUGACUAUAGACAACCACUGAUGAGAUGUCUGACAUGGGAUAAGGUAUAUUAUGACUAUAGACAACCACUGAUGAGGUGUCUGACAUGGGAUAAGGUAUAUUAUGACUAUAGACAACCACUGAUGAGGUGUCUGACAUGGGAUAAGGUAUAUUAUGACUAUAGACAACCACUGAUGAGAUGUCUGACAUGGGAUAAGGUAUAUUAUGGCUAUAGACAACCACUGAUGAAAUGUCUGACAUGGGAUAAGGUAUAUUAUGACUAUAGACAACCACUGAUGAGGUGUCUGACAUGGGAUAAGGUAUAGUAUGACUAUAGACAACCACUGAUGAGGUGUCUGACAUGGGAUAAGGUAUAGUAUGACUAUAGACAAUUACUGAUGAGGUGUCUGACAUGGGAUAAGGUAUAUUAUGACUAUAGACAAUUACUGAUGAGGUGUCUGACAUGGGAUAAGGUAUAUUAUGACUAUAGACAACCACUGAUGAGGUGUCUGACAUAGGCUCUAAAUUCUAUAAUAGUAGCACAGUUUUAGUGUUUCCUGCAGCUUUUAAAAAGAGCAGGGUAAUUUUUUUCUUGAAGAACACUCUAAGCGGGAUUGGCUACACUUUCAGGGCAUCAACCUUUACAUGAAGGACUACUCUUUUUUGGCACCCUUUACAUAGAUAUAAAGGCACUGUUAUGGAUAGGGAUUUAAUCAAAAUAUACCAUUGUUUCAUAUUUAGUUAAGAAAUAAAGAUAUGUUUAUUAGGUUACUAAUUCAAUUCCUUUUUGGAAUAGAAUUGUCACUUCUAGAAGCAGCAAAUAGAAUCUUGAUAGUGCAACUGUCUUUAAAAUACGACAGAAAAGGGCAUGGUACCAAAAAUUUGUACAAAAAAUGGUGCAGGGCGCCACAACCUCCCAAAACCUCCUGUAGGAAGAUUAGGAAUAGAUUAUACUACAUAUCAAAGAAUGGUUUCAAAUAUAUUUGCAAAUUUGUAGAAAAUUGGCCUUCAGAUUAUGUAGAAUUGUAUACUUGUCUUUACCUUUAUGCUGUUUCCUCUUUAUAUCAAGCUGACUUCUAGGUUAUCAGUUUCAUAUCAAACCUUGUAGUUUUUUUUUAACAUGUCUAGUGUAGUAAUGAAUAUCCAUACAGUUUUUUUUUCAAGAAAUGUGAGAAAUAAGGAUAUGUGUUAUGAUUGCCAAUGAGACAACUAUCCACCAGAUACUGAGGGCUCUCUUUCUGAAAAGAUCUACACUACCGGUAGUACCCCCCCUCCGAAAACAAAUUAAGUAAGUAAAUGGUUAUAGAUAUGUCUAUAAUUUUAUGCUGUUGAUUAAACCAAGGGUUAAAGUUACACAUUUGUUCAAGGGUCUUCUUAUAUUUCACAUUUGUUUAGGAACUAAUAAUAAAGCAGCAUUUACAAAAAUUCAUAUACACAAAUUAAAUAUGUUGUAGUUAAUUUAAUGUCCUUUUGUGUACUACGACGUGUACCGGGAGAUGACUUGUUACACUAGCCCUUUCCUACAAUUGAUGUUCAGGAAAAGUGUAAUGAAAUGUUAUAUUUAGGGGAAGUUUUUUUCAUUUUUAUUUUAUUAUUGCCUUUCCUUAAUCUAUAGGUAAAUUAUGCAUUUUUUGGGUCAUGUUUUCCUGUCAUUUGUGUUUAUGUGAAUGAAAACUGAAAACUUUUUUGUUUAUUUGAAUGUGAUGAAAGUAAAAAUAAAUAUAUAUAUAUGGUGAAAUAGAUUCCUGUGUUUACAAGUAUAUGUAUAAAUAUGAA